ACCUGGCUGGCUCAGUUGGUAGAGCAUGUGACUCUUGAUCUUGGGGUCAUGAGUUCAAACCCCCAUAUCGGGUG
rnacentral:tRNA from 1 species